rnacentral:rRNA from 1 species
UGAGGAAUAUUGGUCAAUGGGCGCGAGCCUGAACCAGCCAAGUCGCGUGAGGGAUGACGGCCCUACGGGUUGUAAACCUCUUUUGUCGGGGAGCAAAUUCCGUUACGUGUAACGGAGUCGAGAGUACCCGAAGAAAAAGCAUCGGCUAACUCCGUGCCAGCAGCCGCGGUAAUACGGAGGAUGCGAGCGUUAUCCGGAUUUAUUGGGUUUAAAGGGUGCGUAGGCGGACUGUCAAGUCAGCGGUAAAAAUACGGGGCUGCAACCAUCCGCCCGCCCGUUCGUAAACAUGACGGUCUUGAGUGGGCGAGAAGUAUGCGGAAUGCGUGGUGUAGCGGUGAAAAUGCAUAGAUAUCACGCAGAACUCCGAUUGCGAAGGCAGCAUACCGGCGCUCAACUGACGCUCAUGCACGAAAAGCGUGGGUAUCGAACAGGAUUAGAUACC